rnacentral:rRNA from 1 species
GUACACACCGCCCGUCACACCAUGGGAGUUGGUUGCACCAGAAGUAGGUAGCUUAACCUUCGGGAGAGCGCUUACCACGGUGUGGUCAAUGACUGGGGUGAAGUCGUAACAAGGUAGCCGUAGGUGAACCUGCAGAAGGAUCA